ACAUUGAACUUUUCACUUUAUUUCUUUAUCUUUCUACUUUAUUCUAAGAAGGACUUUAAUGCUGGAAUUUUAACUAUCUUUUCCUAUUUUUUACCGAAGGUUUUGUACUGAGGUACCGUUGUACACUUUUCACUGCACUCCCGGACCUGAGUACACGGCACAAUAAAAGCUAAAUCUGUUCUAAAUAGUAAUAACAUUUUGAGUGUUCACACAGACAAACAGUGGCCUUAAUUAAUGACAACCAAGAAAGAAUGAAAACAAAAAUGGAUAUAAAGAAAAAUGGAUUAAAGAAAGAGCAGAAGGGAGAGUGAACAGAAAUGGAUCAAAGGAAAAUGAAUUGAGGGAAGAUUAAAAGCAGUGGGAAAGAGUACAGAGCAAACCGAAAAUCACAGAUUUCAGAAGACUCCUGAGACAAUAUGUUAGAGUUAGUGAAAGAACAAAGAAAUGAUCUUGUUGGAAAUAGUAAAUAAACAAAUUACUGAUAAGAAACAACACGCUUGAUGUUCUCAAUAAAAUGGCAGAGAUGGAUUGAAAAAUGGCGAAAUCUCUAACCCCUGGUGACUUCUUCCCUUUCCCAUGAACCUAUCACCAAUCCAAACCUAGUGCCCAAUCAUAGAAUAAUUACAGUAUUUAGCCCAUCAUGUAACUGUCUAAUGUUUUUAUUCAUUAGAAUGUUUGUUCAAUAUAUAAUAUCAGUUAUAUAACACUAUGAUCUUGUGCUAUAAACUCUGAGUCUCAUGAUCCUGCCCUACUAGCUACCUGACAAAGGAGCAGCGCUCCGAAAACUAGUACUUCCAAAUAAACCUGUUGGACUAUAA